rnacentral:rRNA from 1 species
AUUUUGGACAAUGGGCGCAAGCCUGAUCCAGCCAUGCCGCGUGAGUGAAGAAGGCCUNNNGGUUGNANAGCUCUUUCGGACGGNAANNAAUCGCGCAGGCUAGUACUCUGCGCGUAUGACGGUACCGUCAUAAGAAGCACCGUCUAACUACGUGCCAGCAGCCGCGGUAAUACGUAGGGUGCGAGCGUUAAUCGGAAUUACUGGGCGUAAAGCGUGCGCAGGCGAUUGAUUAAAAUAGGCGUAAAUACCCCAGGCUUAACCGGGGAACUGCGGUUGUGACUGGUAAGCUAAAGUACGGAAGAGGGGGUUGGAAUUCGACGUGUAGGAGUGAAAUGCGUAGAGAUGUGGAGGAACACCGAUGGCGAAGGCAGCCCCCUGGGCCGAUACUGAAGCUCAUGCACGAAAGCGUGGGUAGCAAACAGG